UUUAAAGGCCGCAGUAUUUUGACUGUGCAAAGGUAGCAUAAUAAUUAGUUUUUUAAUUGAAAGCUUGUAUGAAUGGUUUGACAAGAAAAUUUCUGUCUCUUUUUAAUUAAUUAUAAUUUUAUUUUUAAGUUAAAAAGCUUAAAUAUUUUUAAAAGACGAGAAGACCCUAUAGAGUUUUAUAAAUUUUAUUAAUAAUUAAAUAUAGAAUAUAAAAAAUUAUUUAUUAAAAUUUAUUUAGUUGGGGUGAUUAAAAAAUUUUAUAAACUUUUAUUUUAAAAUAUCAUUAAUUAAUGAAUUAUUGAUCCAAUUAAUUUUUGAUUAAAAGAUUAAAUUACCUUAGGGAUAACAGCGUUAUUUUUAUUGAGAGUUCUUAUCGAAAUAAAAGUUUGCGACCUCGAUGUUGGAUUAAAAUUUAUUUUUGGUGGAGAAGCUAAAAAAUUGGGUCUGUUCGACCUUUAAAAUUUUACAUGAUCUGAGUUUAAACCGGCGUGAGCCAGGUUGGUUUCUAUCUUUAAAUAGUAAAAAUUUUUUAGUACGAAAGGACCAAAAAUUUAUAAUAAUUAUUUUAUUAGAUUAAUAUUA
rnacentral:rRNA from 1 species